rfam:Myotis lucifugus cont2.10386, whole genome shotgun sequence.
UGUUGUUGCCAUGGUAAUCCUGCUCAGUAUGAGAGGAAGGGCAGGUUCAGACAUUUGGUGUAUGUGCAUGGCUGGGGAGCCAAUGGGGCAAAGCUACCAUCUGUGGAUUAUGACUAAACGCCUCUAAGUUAGAAUCCCGCCCCAGCGUAACUAUACGGCAGUGCUGAGGGCCUCCAAUGGCCUCGGAUAGCCGGUCCCCCGCUGUGCCUCGGGACCGGGGUCCGGUGCGGAGAGCCCUUCAUCCUGGGAAACGGGUUGCAGCCAGAAAGGGGGCCGCCCCCUCACCCUUCACGCAACACACAUUCGUGGGGAAGCUAGUGCUAAACCGUUCAUAGACGACCUGCUUCUAGGUCGGGGUUUCAUACGAAGCAGAGCAGCUCCCUCGCUGCGAUCUACUGAUAAUCAGCCCUUGACCCAAGGGUUU